AGAGUGGAUCAAGCGAUCGCCUCCGCGCGAGCGGAGGAGGAAAGUCCGGACUCCAUAGGACAGGGUGGCCGUUAACGACGGCUCCGAGCGAUCGGGGGAAAGUACCACAGAAAACGCACCGCCUGCCGCUUCGGCGGCCGGUAAGGUUGAAAAGGCGAGGUAAGAGCUCACCGGUUCGCCAGCGAUGGCGAACGCAUGGCAAACCCCACCUGGAGCAAGGCCAAAUAGGGGGGUUGGGCGGUCCGCCCAUAGCCCUCGGGUAAGGUCGCUCGAUCCCUUGAGCAAUCAAGGGACUAGAUGAAUGAUCGCUGUGGCUGCUGUGCCAGCCAUUACAGAAUCCGGCUUAUCGAUCCACUUUAGCC
rnacentral:RNase_P_RNA from 1 species